rnacentral:lncRNA from 1 species
GGAACCCAAGCCACACAUGCCUGGUGCCAGGGAUUGCCACUAGCCCUGUCUUCUCCCCUUCUUGUCCCUCUGCCUCCAGACUGCAGAACUCUACCCUUCUCUCUGGCCCUGCAGCCUCUACUGCCCUGGUCCCUGUGCUCAGUGGACUCCUUGUCAUCAAGAGCCUUGGGCUGUCAGCUCUGUUCCUCUGGACCCUAAGGAUCCAUGCGUACUACACAGACAGGACCCUGAGCGCCUAUCUCAGCCUAGGCCCCAGGCCUAAAUGCACCUACCUGAGCCACAGGACCUGAGUUUCUAGUGUCCUGAGCAGAGACUCACCUCAAGUUCUCCCUGAGUGACAGGAUGUGGGCAGUUGACCUGCCCUUGCUCUCCUGCAGACACAGAUUCUGGGAGCUCAGCUGAUUUGCAAUGCAACCCUG